UGUACAAUACAUUUUCAAGGUAACAAUUAUCAAGCCAAAUCAGAAGGGCAGAUUCCGGGUUUGCGAGAUUACAAUGUCUUGAAAGUAAGCCUGAAAAACAUUCUUUCUGUUGUGAAACUGCUUCAGCAAGAAUUGCUGUUGAAGCUCACUUCAACAAAAGAAUACAUUUGUACCGCCCUCCAAAAAGAAAAAAAAGCAACAAGAUAAAUUCAACAUCAUUGUUGCAGUCUUGUCUGUGGAUUUAUACUUGACCUAGGGAAACUGAAACUUUCAUCUGAAGUGGCAAUUCUGUACCUUGAGGGAGAAUUCUUCUUCAAGCUCAGACGCCAAAAUCUAUUCCCCUCAUGUAACCUCAGCUGUCAACUGUCUUUUACCCACGAUAAAACCUCCAUCCAUCUGUGCAAACUCUCAAACCUCUCAGCAUCCGGUUUCUCCAUUCUAUAGAACAGUUUCAUUUUGCCUCUGUAGUUUCUUGCUAAAACCUUUGCAGUGAUGUCCAGCCCUUCCAGUGCUGCUGAUCUGAAAGCAGAUGAGGUGGUUCCUCUGCAGUCUGUCCAAAGCACGGGCCAUCAGUCAAGAGGUGGAGAUGACAGUCCCAAAAGCCAGAUCAAGGACUAUAGGCGACUGGCCAUUGCCAGCAUCAUCUGUGGAAUCUCAUGUAUUGGCAUUCUGUCUUUGAUCAGCUCUGUCAAGGUGCGAGAGUGGCGACAGACAGACCCAGAGAAAGCCCAGGUUCACUCUCUCAAGGCCAGACGCUUCAGCAUCAUUGCCAUUGCAACGUGGCUAGGGCUCCUCGUUCUCAUCCCAGUGUUGAUGGCCCUAGUGUCGUACCUACUCACGCUGAUAAACUGACCAAUACUAACUUAGUAUCGCUUCCCGAUGCGCAAAGAAUACUAAAUUUUGAAGUUUGUACUGUGAAAUUGUGUAGGACUUCUGUGAGAAACAGCCUCAAGCCUCAAACUCACACCUUAAAAUCGAGGCACAAGGAUGCUGGCCAAAUUCUCACUACUCCUUUGUAUCAGUGAUAUGCAGGUUUAUUUCACAAACAACAGCUGUGGUAAACAGCACUUAAAAUAUUUGUAGUUACUACAGCAGAGCACAUUUGAAUACCUUUUAUUAGAGUGUUACUGUUACGGAUACGUCCAUAGAUGCUGUGGAAUUAAAUGUACUUUACAGAUGGCUACAGUCAUUUUUUAUUCAACUCUGGAAUUAUUACAAAUUCAGUGUGGCUGACAAAGCUAUUGACCUUGAUAAAACAUAAAACAAGGUUAAACAAAUGACAAAACAAGGGCAUUAAUAAAUAUGUACUUUAAUGGACAUUUGCUGAUAUACAUGAAUCACUGAAAAGGUGAAUAUGUAUAGUGGUAAAGGAAAACACAGAUG